AAGUCGUAACAAGGUUUCCGUAGGUGAACCUGCGGAAGGAUCAUUAACACGUAUCCAAUGUUAAACCCCCCUGUGAACCUUCAGAAGUCCGUUCUCGUAACACCAGUGCGCCUCAGCAAUCCCGGUAAAUCAUUGUCGACCAGUAUUGAUUCGGGACCUCACAAAUGCCUUACGAUCGAGCUGUAAAAGUGUCACCGGAUAACGCCUCACGAUUGCUGGGUCGACCACCGGCCAACUUCCAUGUCAUAGGGUCCUUUGAGAUCCCUUCGAAACCCCACUACUUAUAGUUCGGGCUUGCUAAAUACACGCCCAAAAAAACGAACAACUGUUAACAAUGGAUAUCUUGGUUCUC
rnacentral:misc_RNA from 1 species